rnacentral:rRNA from 1 species
UUAGUACGGCGAGUGAAGCGGCAAAAGCUCAAAUUUGAAAUCUGGUACCUUCGGUGCCCGAGUUGUAAUUUGGAGAGGGCAACUUUGGGGCCGUUCCUUGUCUAUGUUCCUUGGAACAGGACGUCAUAGAGGGUGAGAAUCCCGUGUGGCGAGGAGUGCGGUUCUUUGUAAAGUGCCUUCGAAGAGUCGAGUUGUUUGGGAAUGCAGCUCUAAGUGGGUGGUAAAUUCCAUCUAAAGCUAAAUAUUGGCGAGAGACCGAUAGCGAACAAGUACAGUGAUGGAAAGAUGAAAAGAACUUUGAAAAGAGAGUGAAAAAGUACGUGAAAUUGUUGAAAGGGAAGGGCAUUUGAUCAGACAUGGUGUUUUGUGCCCUCUGCUCCUUGUGGGUAGGGGAAUCUCGCAUUUCACUGGGCCAGCAUCAGUUUUGGUGGCAGGAUAAAUCCAUAGGAAUGUAGCUUGCCUCGGUAAGUAUUAUAGCCUGUGGGAAUACUGCCAGCUGGGACUGAGGACUGCGACGUAAGUCAAGGAUGCUGGCAUAAUGGUUAUAUGCCGCCCGU